CAAUUUAAGAAAAUCUGUUAGUAAUUUAUCACAAGGAAAUAUUGGUAAAACUUGUUAUUAAUUUGAUUGUAGCAUUUUAUUGAUACAUUGCAUAAUAUCCUGAAAUCUUGGAACCUGGAGUUGACAACUAUUUUUCUUAGAGCUAUGUGGAGACACUGUUGAAGUAGUGUAACAUAGCAUAAAGCAAAUGUGGAUGCUGUUAAGAGCCAAUGAAAGUCAUACAGAAGAACUCCUUUUAUGAAAAAUGAUUUUACAUAAAUACUCUUAAAGCAAUAGCAAUGAUGCAAAACUUCAUUGAUGUAUUAGAAUGACAAACAGCCAUUAUGCUUCCUGGUGUUUUUGCCAUCUCCGUUUGAAUUUUAUUUUCUGCUUCUGUUUUGUAAGGUGUGUUUUCUGUCAUUCUAAUUACUUUUAACAAAAUCACACCUGUGCGCACUUUUUUAUUAAAUAAGCAUUUAGUUCUGGUCUCUGCCUCCAAGAGAUGAAACUGAGUUGGACUAUUUGUUUCAAUUUUAAUGUUCAAGUUUUUACCUUGUAAGACGGUGAUGAGUUCUGGGUUUGUUUAGUAGACAGAAUAAUGCUCUCAAAAGAUGCCCACAUUCUAAUCCCCAAAACCUGUGAAUAUGUCACCUAACAUGGCAAAAGGGACUUUUGUAACUAUACGUUUUUUGUGUUUACAUGUAAUUAGCUGAAAUAUUGUUUAGACUUCCACUGUGUGUCUUUACCAAUUAUCAGUUUAACAGUUUCUCUAUUAUGAAGAUAUAGAUUGACAUCAACAUUUGCUAUUAAUCAUUUAUUAUUUCUUCCUUUUAGAAAGUUGAAUUUCUGGAGCAAGAGAUACAAAUUAAGACUAUUGUUACAUGUUGCCUACAUACAUGACCCUCAAAAGCAUGAUUCCCAGUGGCAUCUCAACAGCAUACAUAAACAAUGACAGAGCUUAUACAAAUUAAGAAAAUAACAGGAGAGGACUCAAGAUGGCGCUGUGAGAACAACCCAGGAUUGGAGCUCUUCUCGUUGAAUCCGCAAACGGUGAGUCAGAGCGGCAUUACCAGACUGAUCUUUGUUGCCCACAGAACGGGGAAACUCCCAAGUAUAAAAAAGACACGGGACGCCAGGCAGUAGGUCUGCCUGGCGAAGCCGGCAGCCGGGGCGGCGGCGGCCGGCCCUACCCAGCAAUCCCCACAGGGCGCACUUGUCCGGGUGCCCUGUUGAACCAGCAACCUGAGACUUGAGAGGGCUGGACUUGAGACUGAACGAGACUUGGACAGUAGGCCAGCCCAGGGGAUUGCAGGGAUUGGGAUACCCAGUGGGACGAACAAAAUCGCGAUUUCAAACUAGACCGAGCAGACGGUCCAAGACGCUCUGUGGGGGAGGGGCGUCCACCACUACCGAGGCAGCCUGCCCCAACUGAGAUACACGCCCACUGCUGACGCAGCCAGCCGUUGCCGAGGCAACCCGCCCCAACUGAGAUACACGGCCAUUGCUGACGCAGCCAGCUGUUGCCGAGGCAACCCGUCCCUACUGAGAUACACGCCCACUGCUGACGCAGCCUGCCAUUGCUGAGGCAACACGCUACAACGAAGAGACUCCGCCCCAGGGCGUGGCGGAGACCACAGCAGAGCCGGCAGGAACAGCGCGAAUCACACAACAGCAGGGCGGAGCCUCGACAGCCAAACAGUGGCUAGUCUGCCUUCUAGCUGGGCAGGACACCUGAACGGACAUCCAAAAAUAAAGCCCAAACCCCUCAACACAGAGCAUCUGAGAAAAAAAAAAAAAAGGGUUUUUUAAUGAGCUCUGUUGCAGCAGAAUAAAACACAGCAGCCUAACAGCCCUGAAUGAACAACAGAGUGCACAGCUCAGCAAUUAAACCCCUAUAAAGUACAAACUGUCUCCUCAAGCAGCUCCCUGACCCCUCUAUAUCCAAAAGACUGACAUUAGGCAGGCAUCAUCCUGGGACAAAGAGAGCAGAAAAAGAAACUGGUGGCAUCCCUCGCUGUGCCACAGCUACUAGAGGUGCACCCCAGACAAGCAGGGUCUGGAGCGGACCUCAGCAGUCGUACAGCGAAGGGGCUAGACUGGUAGAAGGAAAACCAAGCAACAGAAAUACUUCAUCAUCAACAUUCUGGGUGUCCACUCAGAGACCCAAACGAAAAGUCAGCAACUACGCAGACGAC
ensembl:lncRNA